AUUGAACGCUGGCGGCAUGCCUUACACAUGCAAGUCGAACGGCAGCACGGGUGCUUGCACCUGGUGGCGAGUGGCGAACGGGUGAGUAAUACAUCGGAACAUGUCCUGUAGUGGGGGAUAGCCCGGCGAAAGCCGGAUUAAUACCGCAUACGAUCUACGGAUGAAAGCGGGGGGCCUUCGGGCCUCGCGCUAUAGGGUUGGCCGAUGGCUGAUUAGCUAGUUGGUGGGGUAAAGGCCUACCAAGGCGACGAUCAGUAGCUGGUCUGAGAGGACGACCAGCCACACUGGGACUGAGACACGGCCCAGACUCCUACGGGAGGCAGCAGUGGGGAAUGUUGGACAAUGGGCGAAAGCCUGAUCCAGCAAUGCCGCGUGUGUGAAGAAGGCCUUCGGGUUGUAAAGCACUUUUGUCCGGAAAGAAAUCCUUGGCCCUAAUACGGUCGGGGGAUGACGGUACCGGAAGAAUAAGCACCGGCUAACUACGUG
rnacentral:rRNA from 1 species